UGACCUCCUGGUUCAUAAGUUGAUGCUCAGCCACUGAGCCACACCCACUGGGCUGUAAGUGGGUUUUUCAGGUCGCAGUCAAGGACAGAGGUCUCCUUGUGGCUCUGAGAAGCUGGUGCACCUUCCCUUGGCCAGGAGGACGACUUCAAGGACAAGCACGGGUGUCAGCCAGUCUCCCCGUCUGCUCAGACCCAGGGCUCCGCACAGGAAAGAGACCGAUGGCCGCUUGUCACCUUCCAAGGCAAUAACUCCUGAUGUCUUCUGCUCCGGAGGAGAGGCAGGCGGGUGAUUGAGAAGACAGCCUUUAUCUCCACUCCACGUGCUCUGCAAGGAGUGGAUUCCACGCAGUUGGGCCUCCUCUGAGAUUUCCUGCUGGUUCUGGAAUGACCUUGGGCGUCGAGGCCAACCUUCAGUGCUUUGCCCACAGGGCGGAGGGGGGCUCGGACCCCGGCCCUGCACACACUGAGCAAUACAGUGUCUGACGUGCAGAUGCCACCAAAAGGGGUGAGUAAGCAAGGCUCCCAGCACCAGGCCUGUGCACAAGCGCACAGCCGACGGAUCUGCUUGGAGGUGGGAACACGCCUGCUCCUGCCCCAGGUCCAUAGGCCUCGGUCCACCUGCCCCACCACCUUCUCUCCAGACCCCGGCUGUGCUGGGUCCUCGUAGGUGUAGGAAGGCAGGGGGUCCAGGCUUGGCGCCAGACCUCAGCCGCCUUCUGGGCCCCCCCCCCCACGUCAGAAAGGCACCCCUUGGCUUCCCUCCACACCCAGCUCCGUCUGCAGUCCCCACCAGCGCCCACCCAACGAGAGUGUGCAGAGCACCCGUCACUGACGCUGGCCACAAGCUGGGAGAGAAAUGGACAGGGUGCCGCCCUGGUCCGCAGAGAUGGAGGGGGGCGCCGUGCCUUUCAGCCCCCACCAUCCCUGACUCUCCCUCCUGUCUUGAGACAGUCCCCC